UUUCCGUAGGUGAACCUGCGGAAGGAUCAUUAUUGAAUAAACUUGGUGUGUUGUAGCUGGCUUUUUGGAGCAUGUGCACAUACACCUUUGUUUCUUUCCACCUGUGCACCCUUUGUAGAUCUGGAUACCUGUCUGAUGAAACUCAGUUUGGGACUUGCUGAUUUCUUUGAACUUGGCUUCUCCUACAUUUCCGAUCUAUGUUUUCAUAUACCCCUUAGUAUGUAUAAGAAUGUUUGUAAUGGGCUUUAAUGCCUUUAAUAAUAAUACAACUUUCAACAACGGAUCUCUUGGCUCUC
rnacentral:misc_RNA from 1 species